GCUCCUGUGAUCCCUCGUCACUCGACGAGUCAUCCUCGGCUGACCUGCCACUGGCCAGCUCCUUUGCACCUGACGGCAGGUCACUCGUCGGCAAGCACCUCGGAUUUCCCUUCCUUGGCCUCCGGCAGCUGUUUGGUCAUGCUUUCUCUCUUACGCCAAAACCACCAGCGACCAGAUUUCUUUGGCAUCUUAUCUUUGACCCAGGACUCGACUGAGGCCUUAGGCAAGCUCUUCUGGAACACUUGUAAGCUAAGGAUCAUGGGAGCAGCCAAAGCCCAGUUAUAGUAACGGUUAUAUAUCCGUAUUACAAGGUUAGGAUUGUCUAUAAGUCCAGGGUUUUCUGCAAAUUCAUGAUAAGUAAUGAUAUGCUCCACGAAUUUUUCUUUAGAAAUUUCUCCAUUCUCACUGAGGCCCCCACAAAGGGAGAGGGUGACGUCGGGCAAGUCCAUGGUAGAAUCCAAGAGGCACUCAGUGCCACUAUCAGUGGCCGCGCUUCCCACGGACUGCGGGGACUGGGAGCCAGAAGGCGUGUCAGACUCGGGUCACUGCCUGGAGACGGGGUCUGAUCCACUUUUAGGGAAACAGAGAGCUGCGACUUCAGGUUCUAGAGCCUUUAAAUCAUCUAGGUAAAUAUCAUCAGGUCCCUGGUGUUGGCUUCUCUUGUGGACACCUUUCUUCUUUGACGGCGAGUCUACCUUAGCUGCUGGUUUUGAUUCUGAGGGAGCCUCCAGCAACGAGGGGUUGGGAAGCAUCCUUUUCAACCUCACUGCUGAGCCUGUCCUCACUUGAAAUUACCCGAAAAUGGGUAUUUUCUGAUGGUGUAAUCGUACCUGUCCUAGGAUGAUGGUCAGAUCUGUCUCUUUUGCUGACCUUGGUGGACUGUGGGAACCCGCCCCACGUCCACUCCAUGUGGGACUCAGAUCUGAGCAGGCUCUCGGCUGGUUUCACCUCCAGCUCUGAAUCGCUCUUAGGACA
rnacentral:lncRNA from 1 species